rnacentral:lncRNA from 1 species
GAACAACGGAAUUGUCUGGAAGACACCGAGUAUCAGCGUCGUAGAUGCACAGAUGGACAUAAUUGACCGUUGUACAGUUUGUGAGAAGCUGCACUCUCUACCCAGGCCACCUAUCGUUCUGAGAAGGGAGAAAGCCCGAGAAUUGGUGGAGGAAACGCCUUUAUUGAAAGAUGAGACACAGGCACAGCUUAGUGACCUGUCUUACCGGAUUCUUCACACCCGCAAUACAAUUCGAAUGAAGGGCGUGUCUGUUUUUACUAGACAUCUUAACUUUUCACAAAUCCGAGAAGCAAACGAUUUUUCUCCCGUUCGUGGGCGCCUCUCCAAAGAGUGCUAGGCCUUCUUCCCCUUUCCGCCGGGCAACGAAGAAAGAACUAGAGAUAGACAAACAGCGGGAGAGGGAAAACGCUCCUCUCCCAUGCGCUGCUCUGCCCGCAGGGUGCGCCUGUUCCGGGACACAGACAGCCUGCGAUCGGAAGAGCCAGAUUCGUAUACAUCUGCGAAGACGUCGCGAAAGAUUUCCUUUGGAUGCCUGAAAUCAACGGCAGAGGAGAAGCACGCAUCCUUGUGUCUCUAUCUAUGGAGAAAUGUCGGGGGAAAGCUGAAUGUAGAUGCUUUCGCCCAAGGAAAAGGUUGAAACGUCCUGCAGAAAACUGCAUUCUGUCUAGAUGUACACAGAUUUACGUAAGCUAUCCUUUUUUCAAGUGUAAAUCUGUGUCGAAAAGUUGAAGGAGGCCGUUGAAGUCCUCGUACCUCGCGCUCUCCAAUUUUAACCAGCAUUUUCGACUACCCAUCAACGAAAGCACAUGCACGCGUACA